CCUACGGGGUGCUGCAGUGAGGAAUAUUGGUCAAUGGGCGGGAGCCUGAACCAGCCAAGCCGCGUGAGGGAAGAAGGUACAGCGUAUCGUAAACCUCUUUUGUCAGGGAACAAAGGCGGGGACUAGUCCCCGGAUGAGGGUACCUGAAGAAAAAGCAUCGGCUAACUCCGUGCCAGCAGCCGCGGUAAUACGGAGGAUGCGAGCGUUAUCCGGAUUUAUUGGGUUUAAAGGGUGCGCAGGCGGUCUGUUAAGUCAGCGGUCAAAGCCCGGGGCUCAACCCCGGCCCGCCGUUGAAACUGGCAGUCUCGAGUUGGAGAGAAGUAUGCGGAAUGCGCGGUGUAGCGGUGAAAUGCAUAGAUAUCGCGCAGAACUCCGAUUGCGAAGGCAGCAUGCCGGCUCCACACUGACGCUGAGGCACGAAAGCGUGGGUAUCGAACAGGAUUAGAUACCCUGGUAGUC
rnacentral:rRNA from 1 species